GAUGAACGCUGGCGGCGUGCCUAAUACAUGCAAGUCGAGCGAACGGACGAGAAGCUUGCUUCUCUGAUGUUAGCGGCGGACGGGUGAGUAACACGUGGAUAACCUACCUAUAAGACUGGGAUAACUUCGGGAAACCGUAGCUAAUACCGGAUAAUAUUUUGAACCGCAUGGUUCAAAAGUGAAAGACGGUCUUGCUGUCACUUAUAGAUGGUUCCGCGCUGCAUUAGCUAGUUGGUAAGGUAACGGCUUACCAAGGCAACGAUGCAUAGCCGACCUGAGAGGGUGAUCGGCCACACUGGAACUGAGACACGGUCCAGACUCCUACGGGAGGCAGCAGUAGGGAAUCGUCCGCAAUGGGCGAAAGCCUGACGGAGCAACGCCGCGUGAGUGAUGAAGGUCUUCGGAUCGUAAAGCUCUGUUAUUAGGGAAGAACAUAUGUGUAAGUAAAUGUGCACAUCUUGACGGUACCUAAUCAGAAAGCCACGGCUAACUACGUG
rnacentral:rRNA from 1 species